UCCGUGCAGGUGUACAGUAGAUACAUUAUGUGGACAGAGUGUAAAUAACAGCAGCUGUGCUUAACCGACUGUUACUGACUGAUGAUAUCCCAUAAAAAUGGCUUUAAACAAACCUGGUCAUAUAGAAGGUAGAUUUAAAGCGAUAGGCACUCCUAUUUAAAACGCCUACUCAGCAUCAUUCCACCCAGUGGGUUUGUUAGAAUGAGAACAAUUAACGAAAGCCACGCUCUCUGGUGAUUAAGCUGUACUUGUUUGCGCGACUGCACUGAAUCCAAUCUGUUUGGAAGCCUCGUUUCCUUUCUCCUCUUUCUGUAAACUCAGUCAGACAAAGACCGGCGCCGCUGUUGCGUUCGGGAGCAUGUAACUCCUGCUAGUUGCCUUCAUAAAACCUGGUAAUGCCCGGCGUUAAUCAGGGGUUUCCGCUGAAUGUGUUUGUGCGACAACAACAGGCUCCGAAAUGUCACCGUUACCGGAUUAUCUGCUGCCUGGAACCCCGUGAUAAUGAUAUAUUGAGCACUGUUUCUGUGUGGGAGCGCUCCCAACCACGCAUGCGCGCGCGAGAAAGGCUAUUUCUAUUUUCCCGGCUCCCCGAAUGCUUCUCUUUGGAGUGUAAACCCUUUUAUUCUGCGGUCUUUAUCAAAUCACGGGGAGACGCGGAGAAGUUGCGACGGAGAAAGACUGCGAAAAGAAAACAAACUUGCCGCGCCUGAAAAGAAGAAAGGCGGCGAGUGAGAAGACGUGCGGGCGGAGAGGACGGGUUCAGAGGGCGAAGCGUCCGCGAGUGGAGCGUUUGUUGUGCGUCCUGUCUGCAGGCUGCUGCAAUAGGAAGGCUCCAUUAACGGCCGACUGCAGCUCAGACAUCCCCGGUCACACAGCAGCCCUCACCGUCAGCGCUCACACACGAAGGGCCCAUUAUGCAAACGCUGUGCUGCAUCGUGCGACUCCAGGGCGCGUAGACGCACACCGAUGAUGUCACAAGCACCCUCCUUUCUGCCAAGUGCUGCAGAGUCCACCUCAUCCCUGAUCACCACUGAGAUAAGGUCUUUGUAUUAUCCCAGGUGGCGUCUCUUCAGCAGCACCGGCGCCUCCAGCCUCAGACGCCGCUCUAGUGUUUUCCUUCCUCGCUUUUCUUCACGUGUUUUAAUAGUUUUAAUAGAGUUUAAUCUAUUAUGAAUGAUGUUUUAAAUUAAACUCUCCGAAUCUAAUUUGUGGGAUUUACAAGUAAUCCCAUCCAAGUUAAGCUAAUUGUGCCUUCUCUUAAAAACUCUUGAACACAGAUUCAUCAGAUUAUCACACUCUAAAGCUACUGUAACCAGAGUUACAGUUAUAUACAAACGCAGAUAGACACAAUAAUCGUUGCUGUGCUGGUGUUUACUUCGAAAAACAGUGAAGCCUUAUCUGAUCCAUAAACAUGACGGAAACGAUGAAGACUAACGUUGUAGGGUGAGUGUGUGUGUGUGUGUGUGUGUGUGUGUGUGUGUGUGUGCGUGCGUGUGUGUGUGUGUGUGUGUGCCCCUGCAGCGCUAGCCUCGUAUUUCCUGUGCUGAAAGUGCUGAGGACGUAGUUCUGCAGCGCUUUCUAGGCCAGAGAGGCACAGAGUGUUCGCCGUAAGUGCAGCUUAGUUAGAAUGCAUAGUGUUUAUCACUCACUCUGCUGCUCUUUCAGCACACACACACACACACACACACACACACACACACACACACACACACACACACACACACACACACACACACACACACACACCAAUAUUUGUUGUACAGCAAAGACAACUUAGAGCCUCAAUAAAAGGUUGUGUUUUAGGAUCUGUAAUUGCAACUUGUAAAUAAUUUUAUUGAUACAAAUUAUCAGUCAUUAUUUUUAAGCAUAAAAGGUGUAAUUGUGUACUUUAGACAUUCAAAACACACAUUGUUCAGUAAAAUAGUCUCACCCCAAUAUUUUCUACGGCUGCCUCGACAAUUGUCUUUUCUCUCUCACUCUCAGUAUAAACUGCAAUUAUAGCAGUCGACUAACGACCAAGCGGUGUUUUUACAGAAUCCUUUUGAACAAAGCCCUGUUCUGUUAAGCGCAGUGAGUCAUGGAGCAGACACGACCUGAAGCUGCGCCACCAGCAGAUGCAGGGAAGCCGACGCCUCAAACAACGCUGGCUCUCAGUUCUCAGGAGACUCGACUGAUUCCUGUUACAAACAAGACGGUGGAAAACCUCAAGAAUGGCUUUAAAAAAAUAAAAAUAUGAUCUCCUUCCACAAAAUAGGAAGGGUAAACUCAACUGAGGUGACUGAGGCCAUGUUCAGACUAACUUUAGCCCAUUUGUGAACUUGUACAGUAUUUGUGGGUCACAACCAGCCUCUCCUCUUGUAUUAACUGUAAUGGUUGUCCACUCCCGGGUUCUUCUGGAUCUUUGCAGCAAAGGUUGUUUCACGUCCCCAGGGCCCCUGUCUGAAGUAUUUUGGAAUCUUAAGCUGAAAAGCAUUUCCUGGCUGUAGCUUACCUGUGGAAAACCUGCUACUUGGAUCCAUAAUUUAAAUGUUCCAGACAUUUCAUACAGUAGACAACCUUCUGUUCUUUCUGGUACUGCUGGACUGGCUAACACCAAUCUGAGAGCGGUCCCAGUAGCACAGAGUAAAUCACAUCCCCAUCAUUACAUGUCUUCCUCUGUGUUCUCUGUCCCAUUUCCUUCACUCUUUUACUAUAUUUCAUAUUUUUCAUAUUUCCCUUCUCACUCCAUCUCUCUUCUCCGCAUCCUCCUUUGUGUCGAUGGUGAUUUCUCCAUCUUCUUCUUCUGUCAGUCGUAUCUUCUUGUCUUGCUCUCUGCCUGUCAGUCGGUCGUUCCCUGGAGGCACACUAGGUUUCUAAGGAAACUAUUUCAGACAACAGUCAAUAAAGCCACUGAAUGAUAGAGCGAGAGAGAGAAAGAGAGAGAGAGAGAGAGGAGGAGGAUAGAGCUGAGGACGUGCAGACAGAGAGAAGGAGAAAUGAGGCAAAAGAGCAUCAUAGGGAACAUAUGACACACAGUACAAGAGAUGAGUGAGAUGAGGAACACCAGCAGAGCAUUUAGCAGAGAAGUCAUAGGUUUGGGUUUAGUACACUGCAUAUUUACUGUAACAGCUUAGGAGUCAGUGGAUCAUCUAGGGCCGAACUUCACACAUUUGUUGUAGAUGUGUCUUCAGAAUCUAUUUUAAAUGAUGCUACUUAUCAUGAGCCAGUGGAAUGAAUGUGGUGUGACUUAAAGCUUAAUGCAGCUCAGAAGUUCACGGCAGAUCAUUAUCGUAAUGCACAUUUUGUUCACAUUUAAAGCCUUUGUUAUUACUGUACUGGUACAUUGACAAAUAGUCUGAAUUCUAUUGCAUGACACUGAUUCCAUAUUUUUUCACAUUUAAACAGUAAACAAACUGCAGUAAAUAAAAUCAGUUAAACAUGGACCAGGCCUCAGGUUUCAGGUGUAGCUCUUCGAUUAACCCAGUCUGUCUGCACUUGUGUUCAUUACCACAAUAAUGAAGGGACCAAAGGAUGUUAUUAUGGGAUAUUUUAUUGAUGGUGAGACA